rnacentral:rRNA from 1 species
CCCCAGACUCCUACGGGAGGCAGCAGUGGGGAAUAUUGCACAAUGGGGGAAACCCUGAUGCAGCGACGCCGCGUGAGCGAUGAAGUAUUUCGGUAUGUAAAGCUCUAUCAGCAGGGAAGAAGAUGACGGUACCUGACUAAGAAGCCCCGGCUAACUACGUGCCAGCAGCCGCGGUAAUACGUAGGGGGCAAGCGUUAUCCGGAUUUACUGGGUGUAAAGGGAGCGUGGACGGCGACGCAAGCCAGAUGUGAAAGCCCGGGGCUCAACCCCGGGACUGCAUUUGGAACUGUGUGGCUGGAGUGUCGGAGAGGCAGGCGGAAUUCCUAGUGUAGCGGUGAAAUGCGUAGAUAUUAGGAGGAACACCAGUGGCGAAGGCGGCCUGCUGGACGAUGACUGACGUUGAGGCUCGAAAGCGUGGGGAGCAAACAGGAUUAGAUACCCGUGUACA